AGCCGUCGUGACGUCACGAACCCAAGCGCUGCCAAGGAAACAGCCCCGCCUCUUCAGACGUGACACGUGAUGUGGUUGCCAUGUCUGCUAAGGGCAGCCUGUCCUUGUGAUGAUCUCCUGUAUGUAGCCCAUCAACUUACUGGUCCUGGUCAGGGAUCGCAAUUUUACUGGUCCUGGUGAGGGGUCGCAGCGAUGUUCUGUGGAGUGGACCAUCACUUGUGCUUGUUUCCGAAGGUGGGGGCCAGAGCGCCCGCAGUGUUCAUGAAAACGCUUGACGUAUUUGCUUAGGCAACAAGGACUUCAAUAACAACUCUGUCCGAGAAAUAACAGGAUUCCCCCUCUACCCCUCCUUAAUCCAUCUGUGGUCAGGAAGAAAUGAGCAAUCACCUUCUCAUAUAUCUUUAACUACUUGUGCAAUGUGCCACAGUGGCUUAAGUCUGAAAUUUCCCUACUUCCAACUUGUAAUUUCCAAAUUCAACCACUGUAUACUGUUGAAAUGAAAACUAUGAAAAACCAAUGUCCUAUCCAAGAAGAAAAUAAUCAGAAAAUGCUGUAGUUUUUCAUUCAUUCUGAGUGGAAAGAAAGGUCAGAUUUCACUGUGUUUCCAUAGCAGCUCAUCUGAAAAUCCCAUAUCCGAGCUCACAUUUUCAGCUGAAACAGCAGUCACUGAACAGCUUGAUGAC